AUUGAACGCUGGCGGCAUGCUUUACACAUGCAAGUCGAACGGUAACAGGCCGCAAGGUGCUGACGAGUGGCGAACGGGUGAGUAAUGCAUCGGAACGUGCCCAGUCGUGGGGGAUAACGCAGCGAAAGCUGCGUUAAUACCGCAUACGAUCUCUGGAUGAAAGCGGGGGACCGAAAGGCCUCGCGCGAUUGGAGCGGCCGAUGUCAGAUUAGGUAGUUGGUGGGGUAAAGGCCCACCAAGCCAACGAUCUGUAGCUGGUCUGAGAGGACGACCAGCCACACUGGGACUGAGACACGGCCCCGAGUCCUACGGGAGGCAGCAGUGGGGAAUUUUGGACAAUGGGCGCAAGCCUGAUCCAGCAAUGCCGCGUGCAGGAAGAAGGCCUUCGGGUUGUAAACUGCUUUUGUACGGAACGAAACGGUCCGGGUUAAUACCCUGGGCUAAUGACGGUACCGUAAGAAUAAGCACCGGCUAACUACGUGCCAGCCGCCGCAGUAAUAC
rnacentral:rRNA from 1 species